UGGAAAGUCCUCACUAAGAUAGCAAAACAAACCUGUGUGUGUGUGUGUGUGUGUGUGUGUGUUUAGUCAUGGAUUGUGUGACCCUGUGAAUCGGGGUGAAUCAGCCCAGUCUCACUGUUUUUCUUCCUAGUUACUGUUGCCGCGUUACCCUCUAUAAUCACACAGGAUGGUACCUGACGACCGGCUCCAGACACACAGCGUGGUUUCCACGGACAUGACCUCUCGCUCAGCAGGGGUCAGGGGGGGGCUCGUAGUUCUUCCUCGGAGGCGCAAGCUGAGACACGCCAACAGCUGUUCAGUGUCCAGCAGAUGCACAGCUGUACUGUUCUUGGAAGAAAAGGAUAGCCAACACGGGUUGAAGACGUGCUAUUUUCUUAAACUCUUAAAACUCUUAAAAGUCUUAAACUUUUAAAGUCUUAAAAGAAAAUGCAUUCUGGGCAGACAACAACAGAAGGAACUGCAGUGGGGUGCGGAAGGAUGCACUUCUCGUGAUGAUGAAAGAAAAAGAGAUGCAAUCAGUCCAAUUCAUCCUGGAUCUAGAGACAGAGAAUGAGAGGGAAAACCUACAGAGACUAGUGGCACAAUGAAGAGAUAGCAGCUUUGAGAUUACAGAAAGAAACUGAGAUAACCUAAAUAUGAGCUUCUCCAGAGCCACAUCCGGGCUGAGACUGACCCACCACACACACUGUGGGUAGAAAAGAACGGCUGCUUGUGGGUUUGGUAACGGUACACGGCGCAUUACGAUCCUGAUUAUGUAGCCACAUGUUUACAAACACACAUACAGCGGCUCCAAAAAGUAUUUGGACACACAAGUCACACUUAUAAAUGUCAUUCAUUCAGUGACAAAGUCAAAGGAAGUGUAUUUAUUGUAAAUAAGGAUGCACAAACACACUUUACAAACAACAUGUGUGCAAGAUCAGCGUGAGAUCCGGAAGCAAAACGCCAUUGACUGCAGAGGUUCUAACAAAUAAAAAGCAAAAGCUGUCUGAAAUGACCACUUCUGGAUUUUGCAUGAACUCAUUUAUAUGCACAGGAGCGCAAUGUCGGCCUCCACGAUUUUGCUAAAGCAUUGCUUAAAAAUUGGGUUGUUGUUGCCAUUGUAUGAACUCAUUUGCUCAUCUGGAUGUUCAUUAAAUUAUUGUAUUUUUUCUUCCGCAGGAUAAAAAGGCAUAUGUGUUUGGAACGACUUGAGGGUGAGUACAAUCAGGGUUUGACAUUAAUAUCCGCAAACCCGCCAAAUGCAGGUGUAUUUCAGCAGGGGCAUGUGACACAGUCACUUGCCACCUUGGCGGGUUGAAUUUUAUAUAUAAUAUAUACAUUUUUCAUUUUUCGUUUUAUUUGUUCUGGAUGA